UGGUAGCUCAGUCGGGUAAGCGCCCGCUUCUCACGCCAGAGAUGCGGGUUCGAAUCCCGGCGCGGACAU
rnacentral:tRNA from 1 species